rnacentral:rRNA from 1 species
AGUGACGAUAGCCUCGGAGAUACACCUGUACCCAUGCCGAACACAGCAGUUAAGCUCUAGAACGCCUGAAGUAGUUGGGGGUUGCCCCCUGUUAGAUACGGUAGUCGCUUAGCA